GCAAGUCGAGCGGCAGCAUGAACUUAGCUUGCUAAGUUUGAUGGCGACCGGCGCACGGGUGAGUAACGCGUAUCCAACCUUCCGUACACUCAGGGAUAGCCUUUCGAAAGAAAGAUUAAUACCUGAUGGUAUGAUGGGAUUGCAUGAUAGCAUCAUUAAAGAUUCAUCGGUGUACGAUGGGGAUGCGUUCCAUUAGAUAGUAGGCGGGGUAACGGCCCACCUAGUCGACGAUGGAUAGGGGUUCUGAGAGGAAGGUCCCCCACAUUGGAACUGAGACACGGUCCAAACUCCUACGGGAGGCAGCAGUGAGGAAUAUUGGUCAAUGGGCGCGAGCCUGAACCAGCCAAGUAGCGUGAAGGAUGAAGGUCCUACGGAUUGUAAACUUCUUUUAUAAGGGAAUAAAGUCACCCACGUGUGGGUGUUUGUAUGUACCUUAUGAAUAAGCAUCGGCUAACUCCGUGCCAGCAGCCGC
rnacentral:rRNA from 1 species